rnacentral:rRNA from 2 species
AGCAUAUUAAUAAGCGGAGGAAAAGAAACCAACAGGGAUUCCCCCAGUAAGGGCGACUGAACGGGGAGGAGCCCAGCGCGGAACCUCGCGCGCCUCGCCGGCUGCGUCUGAGGAAUGUCGCGUUCCGGAGGGGCCUUCUCCGACCACACCGACCCCCCCCAAGUCCGCUUGAACGCGGCCACUGCCCACGGAGGGUGCGAGGCCCGUACCGGGGAUUAGGAGUCGGGCGGUCGGACGGCCCCGUCCGUAGAGUCGGGUUGCCUACUAACGCAGCCCAAAGCAGGUGGUAAACUCCAUCUAAGGCUAAAUAUGACCACGAGACCGAUAGC